rnacentral:misc_RNA from 1 species
GAUUCACGUCUGCUCCUCUUAAAUAAAUUAGCUGGAUCUCAGUGAGCUCGGUUCCACUCGGCGUGAUAAGUAUCACUCGCUGAGGACACUGUAAAAGGUGGCCGGGAUUGCGGAUGAACCGCUUCUAAUCGUCCAUUCGCUUGGACAACAAUACUUUAUGAUCUGAUCUCAAAUCAGGUAGGACUACCCGCUGAACUUAA